rnacentral:lncRNA from 1 species
UUAGUGAUCAAGCCCUAGUGAAAGGGAACGCAGAGUCUGGAAACAUACAUGGGUUUGGGACCCACCUCUAGCACUAACCAUGUGACCCUGGGAAGAGUUCUUAAAAUUCUGUAUGCAUCUAUUUCUUCGUUUAUAAAACAGAACCUACCAUCCAGGGCUGUUAUGAAGAUUACAUGAGGCAAUUUAUAUGAAUUUAGAAUAGUUUCUACAUAGGCUCUGUAAGUACAAGCUCCUAUUGUCUUUAUGGCUGUUAUUACUUAGAAUCCUUGGAGGUAUGAUCUGGACGUUUUUGUUUUCAAAGAACUACUUAGGAGAUUCUGGUUUGCACCCGUGGUUCUGAACCAACUGCGGUUUGGCUUGUCAGUUUCACAGACGUGAGAAAACAGGAAGUGCCGCAGGAGUCUGGUGAACCAGGAAGAACGCAGAUUCCUGGGAUCCCAGGCUUCCUGGCAAAUCAGUCAAGGUUAGCUCCCUGUCUUCCUCCUCCCCAUCCCGCUAACAGCCUUUGAUCUCACCUCCGGUCGGGGCACCAGCUCAGCUUCCUGCAGGGGUGAGAGUGAGCAAGGACGUGCUCUAGAGAUAGGGGAAGGGGGGGAAGGGAAGUGAGCGUGCAAUCCACCCACCACAUAACCAGCUGCUGAGAAAUAGUGGGCCGGCGGUUGUUAGCGCUCUGGGGGCUGCUGAGCCUUCCAGGGGUUUACCAAGAUGGGACAAAUCUAACGAGCAGAAAGUUACAGCAUGGCUUAUUGGACAAUAACCCAUUUCCUUCACUUAGAAACAAUGAAGAAACAUUUUUCUCACUUCUAUGGCACAAGGAAAGCAAUAUCAGUGAUUUGUGCUGCCUGGUUAUCCAGUCUCUUUACCGACUUGGCUUAUUUUCUUGCUGCGAGAUAUGAACACUUAGGGCUGAAUGUGGCUCUCUUCUCUCUGAAAGAUACCGCUUUGGAUUAAAACAACCACCACCACCACAACAACAACAAAAAGAAGAAAAAGGCUCCAGUCACUCCAUGAUGGAACAGCUUAGGGAAAUAACUUUUCAAAAGUCGAGAGUUAGAGGAAAUUAAAAAAAAAAAAAAUCAGAGAAUGUGCCGCCAAUGAAUUCAAUCACAGCAAAGUCCAUUUCCAUUCCCUUGAAUUCUAGACAAACAAUUUCGAGUUGCAAAUAUCUUUCAGAAGUACUGUAUGCACAGGG